rnacentral:rRNA from 1 species
AUUGAACGCUGGCGGCAGGCUUAACACAUGCAAGUCGAGCGGAGUGAUGGUGCUUGCACUAUCACUUAGCGGCGGACGGGUGAGUAAUGCUUAGGAAUCUGCCUAUUAGUGGGGGACAACAUCUCGAAAGGGAUGCUAAUACCGCAUACGUCCUACGGGAGAAAGCAGGGGAUCACUUGUGACCUUGCGCUAAUAGAUGAGCCUAAGUCGGAUUAGCUAGUUGGUGGGGUAAAGGCCUACCAAGGCGACGAUCUGUAGCGGGUCUGAGAGGAUGAGCCGACACACUGGAACUGAGACACGGCCCAGACUCCUACGGGAGGCAGCAGUGGGGAAUAUUGGACAAUGGGGGGAACCCUGAUCCAGCCAUGCCGCGUGUGUGAAGAAGGCCUUAUGGUUGUAAAGCACUUUAAGCGAGGAGGAGGCUUACCUAGUUAAUACCUGGGAUAAGUGGACGUUACUCGCAGAAUAAGCACCGGCUAACUCUGUGCCAGCCGCCGCGGUAAUAC